UACGUAGGGGGCAAGCGUUGUCCGGAAUCAUUGGGCGUAAAGCGCGCGUAGGCGGCCACUUAUGUCGGAUGUGAAAGCCCCUGGCUCAACUGGGGAAGUGCACCCGAAACUGAGUGGCUGGAGUACGAAAGAGGGUCGCGGAAUUCCCGGUGUAGAGGUGAAAUUCGUAGAUAUCGGGAGGAACACCGGUGGCGAAGGCGGCGACCUGGGUCGAUACUGACGCUGAGGCGCGAAAGCGUGGGGAGCAAACAGG
rnacentral:rRNA from 1 species